rnacentral:misc_RNA from 1 species
AGCGCCAUUGCCAAGGCUG